rnacentral:lncRNA from 1 species
ACCAGGGAAGACAUUGACACUGAUAUGCUUCCAGGAAUCGUCCAACACAAGAAAACUCCUCUCUGCCUUGUUCCUAAGAUGCAUGCGUGAUUCCGAAUUUGCAUGACAAUCUUAUGCUUAAACUAGUUGCAAAAUAAGUCAUGCAGUCUGUAGGUCGUGUCAGAAAGAAUAAAAAAGAUUAAAUAAGUGUUUAUCUAUGCCCCCAUGAUCAUACUCCAAUUUGGGUUUGCAAGAAAUGAAGUGCUCUGUAAGAAAAAUUUUAGUAUAAUUAAUGAAGAACUUUUGUAUUUUGAUUAUGAGAGUAGUAGAUAUUUUACAUAAUGGAAUGUAGGUUAAUACCGAAUGUAUGAAUGAAGCAGAAGCAACCUGAUACCUUGAGACUCCAUUCAGUAAGAAUAUACUCUUAACAAAUAAAUAAAUUAUCCUGAGAAAGAGUAGAUAACACUGUUCAACAACCCUUUAUAAUAAUAUUAUAAUAUUUUAAUAUUUUAAAUUAAAAAUUAAAAUGAAAAUAUUUAUUUAUUUAGAGUAUGUUUUUACAGUAUCAAGUUAUGAGGGUCCAAGUAAAAUAUUGGGAAGAACGUAAAGGAUACUUCCUAGGAGUCGCAAAGAAAAACAGAUUCUACAGUAUAAGAAUUGUACCAAGAGGUCAUCAUCGCCUAUAAGCUUAGACUUAAACAUUCCUUCCACACUUGCAUCAAAACAAAUGCAACAUAAACCAAUUACAGCACCAAGAACUGCACAAGCAGCAAUGAUGCCAUGACAGAACAGACCGACCAGAAUCAUAACAUUACAAUCCUAGCACCCUUCCGAAUAAUUCUAACCAUAAGCAUCAACUCCCCUUACCAUUGUUGCAUUGCAAGACCAUCUGCAACAAGCUAUAGGUACUACAUAACCAAAGAAACGGAAAAAAUAAACACACAAAUUUGGCACGCAAAGCUGAUAAGUUAGCUGCAUAAAAUAUGUCACAACAAUAACUCAAAACAUGGGAGAAUCUGAACAGCUAAAGAUGGAAGUUCUGCAGUGUAUUUGGCUCAACACACAAACCAAAACCAGUGGAUUACCUAAUGUUGUAACCCGUAGAACAUCUUCAAACAACAUCUGAUAUGGCUUGGCACACCUUCCAGAAUUGGAUCUGUAGCAUGUGUAUAAAGACAAACCCCGCACCUGUAGCACCCUCAGCAAAUUCUGCUUUUCUAGAUCCCCUUCUUCUUAGCUUCAUAUCCGUUCUGCUGUGAAUUUUCCAGAAUUGGGAGUUAAUAAGUAUCAAAUUCCAUUAAUAUUUCAUAUUAAAAUAUAAUACUAGUGGGUAUUAAUUGUUAAAAUAAGUAUAAAAUAACCCUUAAUUUAUGAAAUUAUACAUUUUUAUAUAUUUUGUGAUUUAAAUUUAAAUAAGAAUGAUUUAUUUCUAAAUUUGUGUUAAUUUUAGAAUUUUAGGGAAGAAUGGACAUACCUGAACAAAAGGAGAAUAUACAAAGCUAAAAAUGGAAAGUUGAAAUGCACCAACAUCUCCUAAGCUGCUCCAAACUCGCAAAAAGCCUGGAUGCCACUAGUGGAUCUCGCUCAAGCGAG